rnacentral:rRNA from 1 species
GAAAUGCGAUACGUAGUGUGAAUUGCAGAAUUCCGUGAACCAUCGAAUUUUUGAACGCAUAUUGCGCUCAAGGCUUCGGCCAAGAGCAUGUCUGCCUCAGCGUCGGGUUCAACAUCCCAUCCUCAACUCAAAAACAGGUGAUUGAUGGGGAUACAUCGCAGUCUUGUCUUUUCAAAAGACCAGUCUGCCCAAGUUAAUGAAGUGCCUCUUAGCGUGGUUGUGGUCCACAAGGAUCGCUUCCAUUCAAGCCGCGCUCGAAUAUUCAUCUUGUAUGUCGUUCGAAUGUCUGUCUUGCGCUUCGAUGAUGUGAAGCUUUCUUCGCAUCCAACACCUUCUCUUAUUGGAACACCCAACACUUCUCGACCUGAGCUCAGGUA